UGGAAGCACUCGUGCUUUGGAUCUGGCUCACAGCGACCCGACUCUCCCGCUCUCCCCAGUACCCUAGUACUUCCGCUCUCCCCAGUACCCCAGUACCCCAACUCUCCCCAGUACCCCAACUCUCCCACUCUCCCCAGUUCCCCAACUCUCUCACUCUCCCCAGUACCCCGGUGCAUAAAGAGGAGGCGCUCACACAGUGAUAGGUCACAGUUGCCCUUUCCAGGCCCUCACAAAACCUUUCCUGCUGUGACCCUGCUCAUUCCUUCUCUGCUGAAGCUCAUCAUUCCUUUUAUCUGAUCCCCCUAAGGAGUCCAAAGUGGCAGCUCACUUGUCUGUUCCAUUAACCAGGUGAUUUGGCAAGAGGUGGUGCAAAGAAGAAAGAGAGAGAAGAGAAGAAAUGAGGAUGAUAAGAAAUCAAUAUGUGUUAGAUUCCUGCCAUGUGCCAAGCACACUAGGAACAUGAAAUCUUCACAACAAUUCUGUGAAGCAGGUAAUAGUACUCCCAUUGGAGAGAUGAGGAGAUAAGAUUUAGGAAAGAUAAGUAAAUUGCCUGUAUUAGUUCAUCUAUUUGGGUAGACUCCAAAUUCUUUGUGGGAAUGACCAGCUGAGUGGACAAGGAAACAUACGAAAA